rnacentral:misc_RNA from 1 species
UCUCCGUAGGUGAACCUGCGGAGGGAUCAUUACUGAGUGAGGGCCUUCGGGCUCGACCUCCAACCCUUUGUGAACCAAACUUGUUGCUUCGGGGGCGACCCUGCCGCUUCGACGGCGAGCGCCCCCGAAGGUCUCCCAACACUGCAUCGUUGCGUCGGAGUUUAAAACAAAUCAAACAAAACUUUCAACAACGGAUCUCUUGGUUCUGGCAUCGAUGAAGAACGCAGC